CCCUUAGAUGUUCUGGGCCGCACGCGUGCUACACUGAGUAAUUCAAUGGGUAAGGGAACGCUAGAGCAUUACCUAAUCUUGAAAUUUGCUCGUGAUGGGGAUCGACGGUUGCAAUUUUCCGUCGUGAACGAGGAAUACCUUGUAGGCGCAUGUCAUCAUCAUGCGCCGAAUACGUCCCUGCCCUUUGUACACACCGCCCGUCGCUCCUACCGAUUGAGUGAUCCGGUGAGGCUCUGGGACCUGGACGGAAAGAGCGUUUCGCUUGUUCUGUUUGGGAAACUUGGUCGAAUCUUAUCAUUUAGAGGAAGGAGAAGUCGUAACA
rnacentral:rRNA from 1 species